rnacentral:lncRNA from 1 species
UAAGUUGUAGAGAUCCAUCCAUCAUGAAUCUUAGCAAGCUAGUGGGAGCUAUAAGCAUCUUAUGAGAGAAAGAUCAAAUUGUUUGAUUUCUCAUAAAGAUGUAAAUGAAUCUUUUGUUUACUAGGUUUACAAAAGAUUAGUGGGAGUUAAUCAUGUUCCUAAAUCUGAAUAUAUAUAUACAUAUAUAUGAUAUAUUAAUUUUGGAAAUGAAAAGAAUACUUCUUCGUUAAAGUUAUGACUUUAAACAUUCUAUAACGAUAGAAUGUAUAUGGGAGACAUUGUCUAUAAACAUGGGAUGUAAAUCUAUAAUGAUAGAUUUCAAGAUAUAAUUUGAUUAUAUCAAUCCCUAAUAAUAGACAAUAAAUGCUAGGAAGUUUCUCAUAUGAUGAUAAACUUCAAUUAGAACGACGACUCUAGUGAGACUAGCAAGUUGCCCUUCUCAAAGGGAACGUACCCUUUUGACUCCUAAAGAAAUAAUGCGUAAAUAGAAUCCUUUAUGCAUACGCAGAAAGGUGAUUUAUGUAUUUCAUAUUGUAUGGAAACAUUGAUAUGAGUUGUACCUAGAAAGGUACAAGACGAUAUCAGUGCAAGCCCAGGAUCAGAGCCAUGGCAACUGUCAAGUGAGUCCUUGAGUAUUUAAGAAAUACUAAAGGAUAGAUUCCUCAAAGAAUGAGGAAGAAUUAGAGUAACGUAAUGGAAGCGUAAAUGUAUUAGAUUAUGAAUCUAAUCCAUCAUUGGAUAUUUCUUCAUUAUGAAUAAAGAGAUAAACAUAUAUCUCUUUAUUAUGACUAAAGAGAUAUUUGGAUGGAAACAUUAAAAGUAAUGACUUUAGUGUGUUCCAUUGUGAAUGCAAAAUAUAUUGCCAUAUAGAAGCUUACAACAAUGAUGUUUGGAUGGGAAAGUUCAUUUAUGAACUGUCUAUUCGGUUCCAACCAGAAAGUGUCUCUAGUGUACUGACACUACGACACUAAUAGGGCGAUAGCUCAAGCCAGGGAAUCAAGGUCUCAUCAAGAUCCGAACUCAAAUGAGAGACUGAACUACAUGAUUAAGAAUCAUGUAUAAUGGUGACGUCGUUAUUCUCAAGGUUGCUUCUAUGGAUAA